rnacentral:misc_RNA from 1 species
AAGUCGUAACAAGGUUUCCGUAGGUGAACCUGCGGAAGGAUCAUUAAUGAAAGUCUGGGUCUUUACCGACCCUCUCUCUUCUACACACUUGUGAACCUUACCCUUCUCUGUCAGGCUCUUUGGAAACGGCCCUCGGGCUCGGACAUUGACCCGACGGAGAGUAUUUCAAAAACACAUUCUUUAUGUCUGAUUCUUGUUUUAAACAAAACUAAAUAAAA